rnacentral:rRNA from 1 species
GACGAACGCUGGCGGCGUGCCUAAUACAUGCAAGUCGAGCGAGUCUGCCUUGAAGAUCGGAGUGCUUGCACUCUGUGAAACAAGAUACAGGCUAGCGGCGGACGGGUGAGUAACACGUGGGUAACCUGCCCAAGAGAUCGGGAUAACACCUGGAAACAGAUGCUAAUACCGGAUAACAACAGAUGAUGCCUAUCAACUGUUUAAAAGAUGGUUCUGCUAUCACUCUUGGAUGGACCUGCGGUGCAUUAGCUAGUUGGUAGGGUAACGGCCUACCAAGGCGAUGAUGCAUAGCCGAGUUGAGAGACUGAUCGGCCACAUUGGGACUGAGACACGGCCCAAACUCCUACGGGAGGCAGCAGUAGGGAAUCUUCCACAAUGGACGCAAGUCUGAUGGAGCAACGCCGCGUGAGCGAAGAAGGGUUUCGGCUCGUAAAGCUCUGUUGUUGGUGAAGAAGGACAGGGGUAGUAACUGACCUUUGUUUGACGGUAAUCAAUUAGAAAGUCACGGCUAACUACGUG